rnacentral:rRNA from 1 species
UACGGGGGGGGGCAAGCGUUGUUCGGAAUUACUGGGCGUAAAGGGCUCGUAGGCGGCCAACUAAGUCGGAUGUGAAAUCCCCCAGGCUCAACCUGGGAACUGCAUCCGAUACUGGAUGGCUUGAAUUCGGGAGAGGGAUGCAGAAUUCCAGGUGUAGCGGUGAAAUGCGUAGAUAUCUGGAGGAAUACCGGUGGCGAAGGCGGCAUCCUGGACCGACAUUGACGCUGAGGAGCGAAAGCCAGGGGAGCAAACGGGG